GAUGAACGCUGGCGGCGUGCCUAAUACAUGCAAGUCGAGCGAAUGGAUUAAGAGCUUGCUCUUAUGAAGCUAGCGGCGGACGGGUGAGUAACACGUGGGUAACCUGCCCAUAAGACUGGGAUAACUCCGGGAAACCGGGGCUAAUACCGGAUAACAUUUUGAACCGCAUGGUUCGAAAUUGAAAGGCGGCUUCGGCUGUCGCUGAUGGAUGGACCCGCGUCGCAUUAGCUAGGUGGUGAGGUAACGGCUCACCAAGGCAACGAUGCGUAGCCGACCUGAGGGGGGGGUCGGCCACACUGGGACUGAGAAACGGACCAGACUCCUGCGGGAGGCAGCAGUAGGGAAUCGUCCGAAAUAGACGAAAGUCUGACGGAGCAACGCCGCGUGAGUGAUGAAGGCUUUCGGGUCGUAAAACUCUGUUGUUAGGGAAGAACAAGUGCUAGUUGAAUAAGCUGGCACCUUGACGGUACCUAACCAGAAAGCCACGGCUAACUACGUGCCAGCCGCCGCGGUAA
rnacentral:rRNA from 1 species